GUUAUAACCAACUGUUUAACCAUCCGUUCGUUUCUUUCAUAUAUUAACCACUAUAUAUAAAAUUGCAAUUUACAUUAAAAAAAAGUUGACUUGUUUUAAGGCCAGCAACACCGAACGUGAUUCGACAACGCGGCGCGAUUUUUCAAUAUUCACUGACAAUAACUUUGAUCCUGGUUAAAAUUUUUCCAAUAUUUAGAUGUAGUAUGACAUUUUGAGUUAUUUGGUCCACAUAUUUUUCAAAAUCUUUCAUACACGGUUUUAUUUACUUUCAAAAACUGGAAAGUCGCGUUGCCGAAUCACGCCCAGUGUAUCUGCAUGGUUCUUUAAUUAAAACAAUUUUUUACUUUCACUUUCUUUAUUUUGCUUUAUACACAGCAGACAAAAUAUGCUAGUAUAAUUAUUGAACGAACGCCUCUAUUGCCGGUGUAUGUAUAAAACACAAAUGAUUGGUUAAACAGUU